GAUGAACGCUGGCGGCGCGCCUAACACAUGCAAGUCGAACGGAGUUGUGUUGAAAGCUUGCUGGAUAUACAACUUAGUGGCGGACGGGUGAGUAACACGUGAGUAACCUGCCUCUCAGAGUGGAAUAACGUUUGGAAACGAACGCUAAUACCGCAUAACGUGAGAAGAGGGCAUCCUCGAGGUACCAAAGAUUUAUCGCUCUAAGAUGGGCUCGCGUCUGAUUAGAUAGUUGGUGGGGUAGCGGCCUACCAAGUCGACGAUCAGUAGCCGGACUGAGAGGUUGAACGGCCACAUUGGGACUGAGAUACGGCCCAG
rnacentral:rRNA from 1 species